rnacentral:lncRNA from 10 species
AAAAAUAACUGAGUUUUCUUUUCUUUUUUGUUUUUUUUUCUUCAGACAGAGUCUCACUGUGUCACCAGGCUGGAGUGCAGUGGCGCGAUCUCAGCUCACUGCAACCUCCGCCUCCCGGGUUAACGCCAUUCUCCUGCCUCAGCCUCCCGAGUAGCUGGGAUUACAGGCGUGAGCCACCGCGCCCGGCCAGUUUUUUGUAUUUUUAGUAGACGGGGUUUCACCAUGUGGGCCAGGAUGGUCUCGAUCUCUUGACCUCGUGAUCCGCCCACCUUGGCCUCCCAAAGUGCUGGGAUUACAGGCGUAAGCCACUGCGCCGGGUCAAGAACUGAGUUUUCUAAGAAAGCUCUGCCUUUCCCUGAGUUCUCUGAAGAUGUGGAAGCCCUUCCCAGAGGCCAGUUCUUUGGGAGCUGGGCAGCCAUCUGGGGCCUGUGGCCGUCCUUGGCCGCGGUUCUCCCUCCCAUGCCCUGGUCUUCUCUGCUCAGGCUGCUGUGAUUCUGGGGUCUUCUUUACUGGCUGAUUUCCUUGCAAAGGCCAAGGCGGAGUUCAAGGUCCAGCUGGGUGAAGGGCAUGCCUGGCUUCCUGAGAAUUGGAAAUGGUGACUGGUGACUUGAGGCACAUUGCUCUGCGGCUGGAUUUCAUGGUUACCAUUCCAUCCCGGGACCUGGCGCGGCUCAGUCCCCCCUUUCCUGUGGCUGGAAGGGCACGCUUCGUCCCCGGAGAGCGUCUGGUAAGUGGAGAAAGAGUUGAAGGGAAGGUGUUGGGAUUUGGACGUGGACUUCCUGACCCUGGAGCCUGGCCUACUGACUGGAGGAGGGGCCCCCAAGAGGCUGUGGCCCGGGAGCAGCUGAAAUUGGAAGAAGAGAAGAAGAAGAAACUUGAAAGAUUUAACAGUUCCAGAUUUAAUCUGGAUAACCUGGCUGACUUGGAAAACUUGGUUCAAAGACGGAAAAAGCGACUGAGACACAGAGUCCCCCCCAGGAAACCCGAGCCCCUGGUUAAGGUGAGUGGGAGGUCAGGGCUGGGGCAUGCCGACGCCAGGGCUCCAGUUCCAGAGGGAGAGCUUGGGGAGGAGUGGGCACUGCAGGCCAGGACCACACAGCUGGCACCUGGGGAGCCCCUGAAAUCCAUUCCAGAGCCUCCAGGGAUGUGUCCGCCAGAGAUGCCAUAACAAAGUCCCACAGCCUGGGCAGCCUCAACAGCAGGUGUGUGUCACCUCGCAGUCCUAGGAAGGCUGAGAGGAAGGUGUUGGCGAGGCUGGUUCCCUCUGGGCAGGGAGGGAAAUCCCUUCGUGCCUCUCCGGCUUCUGGUGGAUGCUGGUGAUCUUUGGCGUUCCUAGACUCUUGCCUUCAUGUUCGCUGGGUGUUCUGCCCGUGUGCACG